rnacentral:rRNA from 1 species
UACGGAGGAUGCGAGCGUUAUCCGGAUUUAUUGGGUUUAAAGGGUGCGUAGGCGGGCUUUUAAGUCAGCGGUAAAAAUUCGGGGCUCAACCCCGUCCGGCCGUUGAAACUGGGGGCCUUGAGUGGGCGAGAAGUAUGCGGAAUGCGUGGUGUAGCGGUGAAAUGCAUAGAUAUCACGCAGAACUCCGAUUGCGAAGGCGGCAUACCGGCGCCCUACUGACGCUGAGGCACGAAAGCGUGGGUAUCGAACAGG